AGAGUUUGAUCAUGGCUCAGAACGAACGUUAGCGGCGNNCCUAACACAUGCAAGUCGAACGCGACAGGGGCAACUCUGUUGAGUGGCGCACGGGUGAGUAACACGUAGGUAAUCUCCCCCCGAGUGGUGGAUAACCCUCCGAAAGGAGAGCUAAUACAGCAUAAGACCACGGCUUCGAAAGGAGCUGAGGUCAAAGCGGAGGAUCGUAAGACUUCGCGCUUGGGGAUGAGCCUGCGGCCCAUCAGGUAGUUGGCGGGGUAAUGGCCCACCAAGCCAUAGACGGGUAGCUGGUCUGAGAGGAUGAUCAGCCACACUGGAACUGAGACACGGUCCAGACUCCUACGGGAGGCAGCAGUGGGGAAUCUUGCGCAAUGGACGAAAGUCUGACGCAGCGACGCCGCGUGGGUGAUGAAGGCCUUCGGGUUGUAAAGCCCUGUGGGGAGGGACGAAUAAGUUCCGGUUAAUACCCGGAGCGAUGACGGUACCUCCUUAGCAAGCACCGGCUAACUCUGUGCCAGCAGCCGCGGUAAGACGGAGGGUGCAAACGUUGUUCGGAAUUACUGGGCGUAAAGCGCGUGUAGGCGGCCAUGCAAGUCGGAUGUGAAAGCCCUCGGCUCAACCGGGGAAGUGCACUCGAAACUGCAAGGCUAGAGUCUCGGAGAGGAUCGUGGAAUUCUCGGUGUAGAGGUGAAAUUCGUAGAUAUCGAGAGGAACACCGGUGGCGAAGGCGGCGAUCUGGACGAUGACUGACGCUGAGCGCGAAAGCGUGGGGAGCAAACAGGAUUAGAUACCCUAGUAGUCC
rnacentral:rRNA from 1 species